UUGGAGGGCAAGUCUGGUGCCAGCAGCCGCGGUAAUUCCAGCUCCAAUAGCGUAUAUUAAAGUUGUUGCAGUUAAAAAGCUCGUAGUUGAACUUCGGGAUUUAUUCAUUGGUCAGGCUUAAUUGUCUGUACUGGUGAGAUAAAUCUCUACCUUCUGAGGAACUUUCAUGCCAUUUAUUUGGUGUGAUUGGAAAUCAGGACUAUUACUUUGAAAAAUUAGAGUGUUUAAAGCAGGCUAACGUCUGAAUACAUUAGCAUGGAAUAAUGAAAUAGGACGGUCUGGUUCUAUUUUGUUGGUUUCUAGGAUCACCGUAAUGAUUAAUAGGGAUAGUUGGGGGCAUUAGUAUUCAAUUGUCAGAGGUGAAAUUCUUGGAUUUAUUGAAGACUAACUACUGCGAAAGCAUUUGCCAAGGAUGUUUUCAUUAAUCAAGAACGAAAGUUAGGGGAUCGAAGACGAUCAGAUACCGUCGUAGUCUUAACCAUAAACUAUGCCGACUAGGGAUCGGACGAAGUUAUUAAAAAUGAACGCGUU
rnacentral:rRNA from 1 species